UACGUAGGGAGCAAGCGUUAUCCGGAUUCAUUGGGCGUAAAGAGCGCGUAGGCGGCUUGUUAAGUCAGGUGUCAAAUCUGAGGGCUCAACCCCCAGCCGCACCUGAAACUGGCAGGCUUGAGUUCGGUAGAGGAAGGUGGAAUUCCCAGUGUAGCGGUGGAAUGCGCAGAUAUUGGGAAGAACACCGGUGGCGAAGGCGGCCUUCUGGGCCGUAACUGACGCUGAGGCGCGAAAGCUAGGGGAGCAAACAGGAUUAGAAACCCCGGUAGUCC
rnacentral:rRNA from 1 species